rnacentral:rRNA from 1 species
UGGGCAACCUGCCCCUAGCUCUGGGAUAACUGCGGGAAACUGUAGCUAAUACCGGAUGUGACACGAGACUGCAUGGUCUUCGUGUGGAAAGAUUUAUCGGCUAGGGAUGGGCCCGCGGUCUAUCAGCUUGUUGGUGGGUAAUGGCUCACCAAGGCGACGACGGAUAACCGGCCUGAGAGGGCGACCGGUCACACUGGGACUGAGACACGGCCCAGACCUCCGUACGGGAGNA